rnacentral:lncRNA from 1 species
GUGGUGGUGCCCCUAACGGUGGCUGUGUGCGGUGGUGGUGUUGUUGGCGGUGGUUGUUGGUAGUAGUGAUUUGGGUGGAAACGGUGGUUGUUAGUUGUGGUGAUUUUUGUUGGCAAUGGUGUUGGAUCUAGUGGUGGCGACAUUGUUGGUGGCGGUGGUGGUGGUGACCAUUUGGUUGCUCUGUGACUAAGCAUUGGUGGUGAAUUGGGUUUGGCAGUGGAGUAUUUGGUAUAUGUGACCAAUGAUUUGGCAUGUGAUCUUAAAAUUUGACAAUCUGUG